rnacentral:lncRNA from 1 species
CGACGUCGUCUCAGUCCCAACAAUCCACUCCCUCCUCCUGGGCUUUGCUCCCUUUGAGGACCCGGAUCUCGUUAUCGCUUCUGUCAAAGUUAACGGACGCCACUCGCUGACCAAACGGCACCAUCAACCGCCGUCUCAUGAGCUUCCUCGACUUACGCUCCUCCGCCACUCCCUCAGCUCCCUACAAAGGCGUCACCACCUCCGACGUCACCGUCGACCAAACCCGCAACCUCUAGUUCCGCUUCUUCGUCCCCUCUACGACGUCGUCUUCCCCCGCCUCUUUACCCGUCGUCGUUUUCUUCCACGGCGGCGGCUUCAGCUUUCUCAGCCCCGACUCCUACACCUACGACGCCGUCUGCCCCAAAUUCGCCUGGGAAAUCCCCGUCGUCGUAGUCUCCAUCAACUACCGCCUCUCCCCGGAGCACGGCUACCCCUGCCAGUACGACGACGGCCUCGACGUCCUCAAAUUCCUCGACCAAAACCCCGACUCCCUCCCCGACCUCGCUGACUGCUCCCGCUGCUUCCUCGCCGGAGACAGCGCCGGCGCGAACAUUGCCCACCACGUGGCGGCGCGAGCCUGCUACGAGCCAUUUCGGGUCGUGAAACCAAUCGGGUUGAUAUUGAUCCAACCGUUCUUCGACGGCGAGGAACAGACCGAGUCCGAGAUCCGACUCGAGGGCGCGCCGCUGGUGUCGGUGACCCGAACCG